rnacentral:rRNA from 1 species
UACGUAGGGUGCAAGCGUUGUCCGGAAUUAUUGGGCGUAAAGAGCUCGUAGGCGGUUUGUCGCGUCUGCUGUGAAAACUCAGGGCUUAACCCUGAGCCUGCAGUGGGUACGGGCAGACUAGAGUGUGGUAGGGGAGAUCGGAAUUCCUGGUGUAGCGGUGGAAUGCGCAGAUAUCAGGAGGAACACCGGUGGCGAAGGCGGAUCUC